rnacentral:rRNA from 1 species
AGUGAACGCUGGCGGUAGGCCUAACACAUGCAAGUCGAACGGCAGCACAGGAGAGCUUGCUCUCUGGGUGGCGAGUGGCGGACGGGUGAGGAAUACAUCGGGAUCUACUCUGUCGUGGGGGAUAACGUAGGGAAACUUACGCUAAUACCGCAUACGACCUACGGGUGAAAGCAGGGGACCUUCGGGCCUUGCGCGAUUGAAUGAGCCGAUGUCGGAUUAGCUAGUUGGCGGGGUAAAGGCCCACCAAGGCGACGAUCCGUAGCUGGUCUGGGAGGAUGAUCAGCCACACUGGAACUGAGACACGGUCCAGACUCCGACGGGAGGCAGCAGUGGGGAAUAUUGGACAAUGGGCGCAAUCCUGAUCCAGCCAUACCGCGUGGGUGAAGAAGGCCUUCGGGUUGUAAAGCCCUUUUGUUGGGAAAGAAAUCCAGCUGGCUAAUACCCGGUUGGGAUGACGGUACCCAAAGAAUAAGCACCGGCUAACUUCGUGCCAGCAGCCGCGGUAA